CCUGUUUGGAGAAAAACAAAAAGCAGCUCUGAUGAAUUAUUUAUUAGCUUUUAUAAAAACACUACAAAACACACAAUGCACUUGAGACAUAAACACCAGCUCCUUAAACAUGUGCAGGUAGACCUUGUAAUUACAAAGAUAUAUUCUCCAGCAAACUGCUACUACACCAUAUACAUGAGUGGAAGCUGUGUAACAAACCAUCAUUAUUGUCACUCAGGUCAUUAUGGGAUGGUUCCGUGACGGCGGCUGCGUGCCUUUAUUACAGACUUGAUCUUUUAUUACAGACUUGAUUGUCUUUUUCAUCAAUGUGCGGGAGCGUCUGUCACUGCGGCCUCGCGAGCCAGACCCCGCCGCCUUGACCCUCGGGUCAAAGGUCAGCUGGCCACUCCGCCAUUAUCAUCAGCCCAGUCCUCUGCAGGCAGACACCAGACCGCAGACACGUUCUCUUAAUACAUCCAUGCAGACAGCAGGCGGACUGAGCUCCUGUUUAAUCCCGACUGAGUAGCCUGUGUGUGUGUGUGUGUGUGUGUGUGUGUGUGUGCCCAAUAAGAACUAACCGUUCCCUUCUGAACUACCGUAAAGCAUAGCGCUUUAACGUGAAGUGUCGUUAGCAAACGGCUAACGCUAGCUGAACCGUAAACUCAAUAUACGCUAGCUUGUUUUUAGCGUAGAUAUAAAACAGUUUUAUGUUUAUGUUGUAUGGUUUUUAGUUUGCAUUAAUGAAUGUUAGACGUUGUAGAACACUACCGUUGCGUAGCGACACACAGGAUGCGGUCUACAGGGGAAUUGUCAGCUCUUGUCCCGCUGGCUGUUGCCGUGGUGACCAGUGUGGAGAUAAUAGCAGUUAAUGAGAUAUUAACCCCGAAGAAGGAAGAAGACAGGAAGUGAUGAGCAUUUUCAGGAAGGACUAAAGACGGGAUUCGUCAAUGGAUGACCCCGGUCUGAUCAAUAUUGUUCUGUUAUUCGGCGUCGGUAACAAGCAGCCCCGACCUCGUCCCUCUGAGACUCAGGAGCAAAUAACCACAAUGAAAGGACGGCGCCAGCAAGCGGCCUCACUGCCUCGUCUCCCCGCGAGUCCUUGCACACCAAUCUCGUCAUCCCAGAGGUUCAAAGAUGAAGUGAGUUGGUCUUGAGCUGAAGUGAGCUGAAAGAUGGAGCAAUGUAAGCCGAAAUACCUGGAUUCAAACCUGCAACUUUAUAGGCAGUUUACAAGGUAAAUGCAUUUAAUUCUGUCGACCCUUAAGCACGGCCAAACACCGCUGUUAUCUCUCUCUCCACAUUCCCAACAUCCCUUGCAUUACUUCAGCCCUCUCUUUUU